rnacentral:pre_miRNA from 1 species
UAUAAUGUUUGACUCUUCGUCUUAUUUAAAAAAAUUUUACGAUCAAUAUUUUUAUUUUUAUUAGAUGAUAAAUCAUGAAUAGUACUUUACGUGUAACUAAUUUUUUUUAUUUCUUAAAGUUUUUUCAAAUAAGGCAGAAGAUCAAAUGCUGGACAUG